AUAUAUCCUAUUUGAAGAAUUUAAAAUGUAAGUUGCAAUCAUUUACAUUCAAAAAUAAAAACAAUUUGUAUGUAAUAUUUUAAUUCAUAAACACGUUUUCUGGAAAUUACUUCAAAGAUUUAGAAUUUGAUAAAGUUAUUUGCCUGUUUACAUCACCAAUAAAAGAUAGAAAAAACAAAGGAACACACACACAUAACAAAGAAUAAGGAACAACACUAUUUUCAUUUGUCCCACUUGUUAAAGGUUGACCUUUGUAACUACAGCUGUUUCUGAAACCACUCCUCUUUUGGGGAGAUAUAUAAUAUUUAUAGAUGAUAAAUUAGGUUUACGUACUGCUUCCCAGAUGUGAUCUCUAUGUUUUAUCUCGUAGAGACCUUACUAGAAAUACAAAAAUACCUCAAUAAAACUAUUAAUAGUGUGUUAUAUUCUAAAUUUGUUCUAAAUAUUCUAUAUUGAUAGAAACAGCGGAAUACUUUAGGAAAUAUGAAGCCUCAGGGAAAAAAACGAAAAAAAUCUUACCCCUGGCUCAUUAAACAAAACAAAUUGAUUUGUAUGUUUUUAUUUUAUUAUUUUUAAGGGUCUUUUGUAUAGAAAACAAUAACUGUGUUCGAAAGUUAUGAAAAAAAUCAGAUUUAAGCAGUCAUUUCUAUACAACUGUUAGUGAAUUCAUGCCCAGACUGGUAUCUUUAUACAUACAACCUUUGCAAAUAUGGCUUUGUUUAAAGACUUCUAGUUCAUAUAUUAGGUAAAUUAUGUUAGAAAUGUGGUAGAAAAUGAUACUGUUAUGACAAGAGUUUUAAAUUGACCAUUUGAGGAAGAAAUUAUGAAAUUUCAUUGACAAACAGGCAUACAUUAAGAUGUGGACUGGAGACGGAGGCAGGAUUGAAUACUUAUAAUCUUGAAUGUUGAAAUGAGAUUGACCGCUUAACAUUUCUAGUAUUCUGAAGUGCUUUCAAUUUGUUACAGAAUAGUUUCAAACAGAUUUUAGACAUUCCAUGUUAGAAAAAAUGCAAAUAGGGUUAGCUGGCAAUUACUAAAGUAUUGCUUUUAAAAUUUUAAAAAUAAUUUGAAACAGGGGUGGGGAAUAAAAUGAAUUGUAAAAGAAAACUAAGUAUACAUACAGUGAUUUCUAUUAAUCUUUAAUUCCGAUAACUAAGUAUUGGUGUGAGACAAAGUUUUUGGAGAGUUUUCUAUUUGAAUAAAUGUUAGUAUAGGUUGCACUUUGUAAAUACAGCUGUUUCUCAAACCAUGUCUCUUUUGGGGAGAUAUACAAUAUUCAAAGACAAUUAAUUAUACCAGUUUACAUAAUACUCCCUAUUUGAUAAAGGCAUCAUAUAUUCGCUCUAUUAAAACAUCGAUUGUUAUCUCAUAAGCAACACGACGGAUGCCACAUGUGGAGUAGGAUCUGCUUACCCUUCAGGAACACCUGAGAUCACCCCUAGGUAGUUUUUGGUGGGGUUCGUGUUGUUUUUUCUUUAGUUUUCUAUGUUGUGUCAUGUGUACUAUUGUUUGUCUGUUUGUCCUUUUAAUUUUAAGCUAUGGCGUUGUCAGUUUAUUUUCGAUUUAUGAGUUUGACUGUCCCUCUGGUAUCUUUCGUCCCUCUUUUGUAGAUAAAUAAAAAAAGCACUUAUUUGAGUUUAUCUGUAAAUAACUUGUCGAAUACAAAUCGAUUACUAUUUAAAUAAGAUUGAUAAUACUUCAUGUAUUGUAUAUGCCAGACACGCUUUUCUAGAAUGAGCUUCACCACGAACGCCAAAGGCCAAACAUUUAAAAUCAACGACUAAUAAGUACCGAUAAACGUUAUGCGCUUUAUGACCAAAAUGAGGCCUUAAAUACCAGCCAAAUCCAUCAAAUAUCAACUUUGUUUAAACAUUUUCGAAUCUUACAUGUAGUUUCUUUAAAAACAAAUGUUUAAAAAGACAAUAUAAGAACAUGAAGAAAGCUAUGUAAUAAAUCCUUCCAGUACCGAAUAAUGGAAUACUGAGCUGAGUAUGCUCUCAGAUUACCAUUGUCUACCAGCAGCAGUAUCUACCGAGUGCUACAUAACAUUUAUAUAUGUUUCAAUCGAAGAUAUUUACUUAAUUUACCUUGAUCAGGAGCACCAAAAACAACAGUGGGUAACCAUGUCAAAACAUGUACAGCAGUCAAUACUGUGUUAUAUUGAUGAUCACUCUAACGCAAUUUGAAAAAAAAAAAGUGAAACCGGGAAAAUAAUUUGAUGUACCAUGUCAAGUCAAAUUCGGGCAAAACCAGAUGCGUCAAUUGGGAAGACAUGUCAAGAUAAUCAUGCGUGUAUUUCUAAGCAAAUGAAACAUAUUACGAUUGAGAACAUUACAACAGGAAUAACAGAUCCAUAUUUGAGUCUGAUAUUAAUCUAAAUAGUAUUCAAGUCCUUCAAAAUGAUGUUAAUUUCAUUUAUAAAUUAUAAUAAUCAUGAUGAUGCAUAAUAUAGAUACGUUAUUGCAUAAGUGACAUAUGUGAUCACUUUUUUUUUUAUAUUAUACAUGGAAACAUCUUGAAAUGGACAUAAUUAUGUGACUUAAAAUUAUAUUUUGUUUCGUAGAUUUGUCUACAUUUUGAGCCAUGUAUUGAUUAAAAUAUGUUUCACGAACAUUUUCAAUUUUCCUAGACAGUUUGAUGCAAAACAAGUCAUUUUCUACAAGACAUCAUCUUAUGGCAAAAUAUCAAUGACAAGAUAUAAACAAUAUGCUAGGUGUCCUUAUUUUAAAGUUGUACACUAAACGAGUUUUAAGAAGUAAAGAUCGUUCCAAAAACGUAAUUCGAAACUUGAAAUACCGACACUGAUAUCAGACUGAAACAUGCUAUUAGAUAAAUGUACAAUAUUUUAUAAUUCAAGAUGUCAACAAGUGAUUAAUUCAUACCAUUUCUAUUACAAAAAGACGAUUUUGCAAGUGAUACAAGAACCAAAACAUAACACCAGGUCUAAUGUGAAAUGAGGACCAAAGACAUCGUAUUCGUCAACCAAUUCUUGAUGGUGCCUGGAAUACACGUAAAGUAUAAAUUUUGUCAUAACACAAGGUGGGAGAGGUGGAAGAACAUGUGCGAAAUAAUUGAACAUGUAUCAAUUAAGAUAUUUCAUGUCCAUUUUUACCACAACAAAUUGUGAAGUUGACUAUUGGAAAGUGUCUGGUGUAGAAUGUAAUCAUAAAAGAUAUAGUUAUAAAGCAGAUUGUAUCCUACUUGUUUACAGUUUAUUAAACAACAAGUUCGCUAGGGUAUAUAAACUUAUCAUAGAGGCCAGACUUUAAAUGUUACUUCUACAAAUGAGUAGCAAGCACAGGAUGAUUGAUAAUAUCACUUCACACUGAAACAGCUAUUUACCUUUCAUUUUUGUGUUUGACUCGGUUUUGUUCCCGAUUAAUAUCGUCUCUUUACUCUAAUAUCAAAGAACACAACAAAUAGAUAUUCUUGAUAAAAAAAAGUCACGCAUUUUGAUGAUAUAUUCAUUGACGUUUAUUUGGUCUUUGAAGGCAAAGUUGUUUUUCACAAAUACGGAUUUUUUUAUAUCUAAAAUCAGAAAUUUUUAUUUCGUUUUGAGUAGAAAAAGAGUAGAAAAAAAUCGUAUUAAGUGUAUUUCCUGCAAACCCAGUAGGAGACAGUUCACCAGAGGCUUAAACGGAUAUGUUAUAUAUGAAUGUCUGAAUACUUUACACAUAUUCUUCUAUUUAUUUAAGGAAUGACUGUAAUAUUUUUCCUGAAGAAAUAACAUAGAAAAUGUGGUGCACACUGAAUAACGCGCGUAGCGGAUUAUUUAAAGUGUGCACCACAUUUUUUUUUAUGUUACUUCGAAUAGGAGGAAAAUAUUACAGUCUUUUUUUAUAAUUUAAUUCUCAAUUUCAUUUAAACCGGAGUAAAUUAUGAAAAAAAAAAACGUUGAUGACCACAAUGUCAUGGUCACAUGACAAAAUAAUUUAUAUGAGCUGAUAAACAAAAUGACGUCAGCCAAUCAGAAGACACGUUACAUCCAAAAUUAAAUUAUUAGAUAAUAGUUCAUUUUUUGGAUUUAAGUGUCUUUUAAAAUUGCAAAGUUCAUGGCUACCGCACAGUGUACGGAGGGAAAUCUUUUGAGCUAUCUCGUUACAUUAAUACAUCGGAUAAAUGGAAGGAAAAAUGUAAAAUCAUUGAAUGAAAAAUAUUGAUCGAAUGCAGUCAGGAAAAUAUAUAUAGUAUAAUCAGAGAAGCUUUCAAUAGAUUAUAGUUAUUCAUGAGGGGGGAGAUUAGACACCUUCAAAAGUAUAAUGGUGUCUUUAUUGUUAUCAACCACCGUUAAAAAAUAAAGUGUUUGUUUAAUCUUAUGGCAAAACUUCGAAUUAACAAACAACUAACAUUCAAGAAUUGUUUCAUCAUACGACACAAAAUGAACCAACAAACAAUAAUUUGGACAAAGAGACGACUUUUUGGUUUCGUAUUGUUAACUAUCCCUCUUAGUGAUGUUCGUUGAUUUCAUUGUUAUGGCGUGUAUAUUUUUCAACUCGUACGACAAACAAGGUUCUGCAGUGACAUUUAAGAUAACAAUAAAUGCAAUCUUUUUUUUUUUUUUUUAUAUAAUUUAUUGAUCUUGAAGGCAGCUUUUUAGCUUCAAUACACGACGUAAAACAUAAUCUAUAUUUCUUCAUAGAUUUAAUGAUUUGAUUUGAAAGUUUGGCUGAAUUGGCUUCUCUUGUUUCGAGUUGUGUCAUUGACAAUCAUACCAUAUCUUCUUUUUUACAUUAUUACAAACGGUAAACCAUUUUCUAACGUUUACUCUGAUGUUGUUUUAAGUGCCGGGAAAUUAAGAUGCAAUCCAUCUGUACGUUUUUAUUACUAAUAUUAAUUGGAGUUUAAAUUAAUUGAAACAUAAAAAAAAGUAUUGAUAUACAGUCAUGAACAUUUUUAUCCUAAGGGAAACAUUACAAUGAUCUUAUGCUUCUUAACAUUUUUUUAGAACUUCCUCAAUCGUAGCUAAUUAUGUUCGGUUCGGACAGUAUGAUAUUAACCCGUUUUCUAAAUAAAUAUAGAUAAUUAUUUUUACUAUCUGUUAAUUCGAUUACAUGUUUUUACGAACUUCAUCAAACAAUAAUUAUGUGUACCUUGUGUACGUAAACAACAAAAAGAAGAUAGUUAUAAUUCGUGGUCGAAUACGAUUUAACUAGGUUCUUUAAUUGAAAAUUAUCAGUGAAUAUUUUCAUAUAUUUUUCAGAGAUCGAGCUGCAGAUAAAAAUUAAACUAGAAGCAAAAAAUGGCCAAGUUUUCAGGAAAUCGAAAAUUUCUUUUGCUGCUGGUGUUUGUACUGCUUUUAUUCACCAUAAAAAAAAACAUAACGAAAACCGAUAAUGAAGAACAACUGAAUUAUAUCAACGAAAUAGACCAGGUAAGAACUGUAACAAGCUCUGUAAUACAUCAUGUAUUCGUCAGCCAUAUCAGUUUUUUUACAAAGUAGCAGCAAAGCAAAAUUACAAAGC
rnacentral:lncRNA from 1 species